UACGUAGGUGGAAAGCGUUGUCCGGAUUUACUGGGCGUAAAGAGCGCGCAGGCGGUCUUGUAAGGCGAAUGUGAAAGCCCCUGGCUCAACCGGGGAGGGUCAUUCGAUACUGCUCGACUCGAAGGCAGGAGAGGGAAGCGGAAUUCCCGGUGUAGUGGUGAAAUGCGUAGAUAUCGGGAGGAACACCAGUGGCGAAGGCGGCUUUCUGGCCUGUUCUUGACGCUGAGGCGCGAAAGCUAGGGGAGCAAACAGG
rnacentral:rRNA from 1 species